AACGCAAGAGUUGUUGGACAAGCACAUAGUACGCGUCUGGCCAUGCCCCGUUUCACCUUUCUCUCGUCAUGACAAGAAGGAAGAGAAGUCUCUACAAUCCUCGAGGGAAUCACCUCUAGCAAGAAAGUAGCUCCUAAAGAAAUUUGAUGAUUAUCAUGCCUUGCAAUACCCCAUUCAGCUUUAGUUUAGUAGACAGCUGGUUAACUGCUUCCUGAAGUGACUGUAUGAUGCAAAGCUAUGGUUCUUUUCGAAGUUUUUUCUGCCUUUGUAGAUGAAGAGUAGCGAAUUGUUUGGACUGAAUUCUGAAUAUGCUGCAUUUGUGCCAUGUGCGAGAAAUAGCAUAUUGUUAUCAUCUUGAAAUAGUAGACAAAAAUGUACAUUGAGGAGCUGGUCACUUCAGUACAGACUACAGAGAGAUGACGGCUUGAGAUAUAGUCGCAGCACCAUCAUUGGCUGCAAGAAUUUGCUCCCUGGAAGCGGAAAUGUCAACACGGUAGCCUCAUAUUUUCCCCUCACAUGACGAAUUCAUAAAAGAA